rnacentral:sRNA from 1 species
GGUCAUGGCACUGACUUCAUCUGCAUCCUCAGGCAUUCGUCUCUAGGAGUGAGCCUCUCAUGCUUCCUCCGGGGACUCACAGGCUGCAGACUCAGGCCUAGCCAAUCGGAGCGUUGUGUUACCGGUCACAGUGAUAGGUUAAGGGGGUGGUCACAUGAUCAAAGUGAAGUUGAAAAUUAAAUGCUGGAAUUUUUCUGGAAUUCUUGAGAAAACAGUUUUUUUUCAUUAGCCUCACUGAACCUGGCACUACAGCAGCUCAGAAUUGUUGAGGUCAUUUUUGUCAGCACAGGGAAGAUCUCCUGACAAUGAGGCCACAGUGGGCUAGAGUGAAGACGAGGGAUGACAGGAAGUGGUUCUCAGCAGCACCGUUCAACAAGAGCUGUGUCCGCAAUGGAUGGCAUCUGAAUUCGUAUGCACUUUUCCUUUAUCUAAUUCGUGGUGAAUUGUUUUUCAUCGAAGAGUCCUUAAGGAGUCAAGGAAGCCUGCCUACGUUUAAUAGAAGGAAGAUGAAAACUACAGACAAAACAAGAAGGGAACUGGAUAUGGUAGUGUAUGCCAGGAGCCUGAGCACUGCAGCAUCCGAGGCAGGAGGAUUGUGAUGUGGAGGCCAGCCUGGAGUACACAGCAAAAUCUUGUUUCUGAAAACAAUAACAACGUCAACAAAGCCAAUAGGAAAAUGAAAGAAAGAGAAGUGACAGAACUGUGCUCACGUCCCACCAGUCAUGCGGAAUCUGGUGGCUGACUGGUACUGGAUUUGAAUCAAUAAGCCUGCAAGGUCAAUUAUCCAUUUUUGGAAUCGCCAGUUUGUGGACUUCAAUACCAUUUAGGCUGAAGUGGGCUUUGUUGGGAACAUGGCAGUUGUGUUUUUCUAGUGUCUCCAGAUGAGUCCAUUCAUCCAAUGGAAGCUGUCCUCCCU